UCCCAUAUGGUCUAGCGGUUAGGAUUCCUGC
rnacentral:piRNA from 6 species